rnacentral:rRNA from 1 species
AUUGAACGCUGGCGGCAGGCCUAACACAUGCAAGUCGAGCGAGCGGCGGACGGGUGAGUAAUGUAUGGGGACUGCCCGAUAGAGGGGGAUAACUACUGGAAACGGUGGCUAAUACCGCAUAAUAUCGGAUAACCCAGAUGUGAUUAGCUAGUAGGUGGGGUAAAGGCUCACCUAGGCGACGAUCGCUAGCUGGUCUGAGAGGAUGGUCAGCCACCCUGGGACUGGGAAACGGGCCAGACUCCUACGGAGGCAGCAGUGGGGAAUAUUGGACAAUGGGCGCAAGCCUAAUGCAGCCAUUCCGCGUGUAUGAUGAAGGCCUUAGGGUUGUAAAGUACUUUCAGCGGGGAGGCGUUACCCGCAGAAGAAGCACCGGCUAACUCCGUGCCAGCCGCCGCGGUAAUAC